rnacentral:rRNA from 1 species
AGUGAACGCUGGCGGUAGGCCUAACACAUGCAAGUCGAACGGCAGCACAGUAAGAGCUUGCUCUUACGGGUGGCGAGUGGCGGAAGGGUGAGGAAUACAUCGGAAUCUACUUUUUCGUGGGGGAUAACGUAGGGAAACUUACGCUAAUACCGCAUACGACCUACGGGUGAAAGCAGGGGAUCUUUGGACCUUGCGGGAUUGAAUGAGCCGCUGUCGGAUUAGCUAGUUGGCGGGGUAAAGGCCCACCAAGGCGACGAUCCGUAGCCGGUCUGAGAGGAUGGUCAGCCACACUGGAACUGAGACACGGUCCAGACUCCUACGGGAGGCAGCAGUGGGGAAUAUUGGACAAGGGGCGCAAGCCUGAUCCAGCCAUACCGCGUGGGUGAAGAAGGCCUUCGGGUUGUAAAGCCCUUUUGUUGGGAAAGAAAAGCAGCAGGUUAAUACCCCGCUGUUCUGACGGUACCCAAAGAAUAAGCACCGGCUAACUUCGUG